rnacentral:rRNA from 1 species
UGUUUCGGCUAGGGGGUCAUCCCGACUUACCAACCCGAUGCAAACUACGAAUACCGAAGAAUGUUAUCACGGGAGACACACGGCGGGUGCUAACGUCCGUCGUGAAGAGGGAAACAACCCAGACCGCCAGCUAAGGUCCCAAAGUCAUGGUUAAGUGGGAAACGAUGUGGGAAGGCCCAGACAGCCAGGAUGUUGGCUUAGAAGCAGCCAUCAUUUAAAGAAAGCGUAAUAGCUCACUGGUCGAGUCGGCCUGCGCGGAAGAUGUAACGGGGCUAAACCAUGCACCGAAGCUGCGGCAGCGACGCUUAUGCGUUGUUGGGUAGGGGAGCGUUCUGUAAGCCGUUGAAGGUGGCCUGUGAGGGUUGCUGGAGGUAUCAGAAGUGCGAAUGCUGACAUAAGUAACGAUAAUGCGGGUGAAAAACCCGCACGCCGGAAGACCAAGGGUUCCUGUCCAACGUUAAUCGGGGCAGGGUGAGUCGACCCCUAAGGCGAGGCCGAAAGGCGUAGUCGAUGGGAAACAGGUUAAUAUUCCUGUACUCGGUGUUACUGCGAAGGGGGGACGGAGAAGGCUAUGUUGGCCGGGCGACGGUUGUCCCGGUUUAAGCAUGUAGGCGGAUGUU